rnacentral:ncRNA from 2 species
CCAAAACACUAGGGGUGUCCAUUCGUGGGCUGAGAUGUUGAUUUGUCAGCGAUCCCUUAGAACCUGUCAAGUUCAAACUUGCGAAGGGAACGUGUCGUGGCACCCAC